UACGAAGGGGGCUAGCGUUGUUCGGAAUUACUGGGCGUAAAGCGCAUGUAGGCGGAUAUUUAAGUCAGGGGUGAAAUCCCGCAGCUCAACUGCGGAACUGCCUUUGAUACUGGGUAUCUUGAGUAUGGAAGAGGUGAGUGGAAUUUCGAGUGUAGAGGUGAAAUUCGUAGAUAUUCGGAGGAACACCAGUGGCGAAGGCGGCUCACUGGUCCAUUACUGACGCUGAGGUGCGAAAGCGUGGGGAGCAAACAGG
rnacentral:rRNA from 1 species